UCCAUGAUUUAAAUAGCCGCAGUAUUUUGACUGUGCUAAGGUAGCAUAAUAGUUUGUCCGCUAAUUGCGGGCUGGAAUAAAGGAGUUGACGACACUUUGUCUUUUUUAACUAAAGAUUGGAAUUUGAUAUUUACAUCAAAAAGUGUAAAUUUCUAGGGGGACGAUAAGACCCUAUAAAACUUUAAUUUAGGGUAUUUUAUAGUAUUUAGGAUUAUAUAAAAUUUUAUAAAUUAGGCUGGGGCGGCACCUAAGAGGCUCUAGGAAAGAAAACAUAUUUAGUGAAUUUAAAGAUCUUAAAAAGACGUAGAAUAAGUUACUUUAGGGAUAACAGCAUAAUUUUUUUAUAUAGAACGCAUAAAAUAAAAAGACUUAUGACCUCGAUGUUGAAUUGAGGGGCCUAAUUUAAGCAGAAAUAAAUAUAGGGGGUCUGUUCGACCUUUAUUACCUCACGUGAUCUGAGUUCA
rnacentral:rRNA from 1 species